rnacentral:rRNA from 1 species
UACGUAGGGUGCAAGCGUUGUCCGGAAUUAUUGGGCGUAAAGAGCUCGUAGGCGCCAGACAGGUCCGUUGUGAAAACUCGAGGCUCAACCUCGAGACGCCGAUGGAAACCGUCUGGCUAGAGUCCGGAAGAGGAGAGUGGAAUUCCCCGGUGUAGCGGUGAAAAUGCGCAGAUAUCGGGGAAGAACACCCGUGGCUAAGGCGGCUCUCUAGUACGGUACUGACGCUGAGACGCGAAAAGCGUGGGGGAGCGAACAGG